rnacentral:rRNA from 1 species
UACGGAGGGUGCAAGCGUUAAUCGGAAUUACUGGGCGUAAAGCGUGCGCAGGCGGUUAUGUAGACAGAUGUGAAAUGCCCGGGCUUAACCUGGGAACUGCAUUUGUGACUGCAUGGCUAGAGUUUGGCAGAGGGGGGUAGAAUUCCACGUGUAGCAGUGAAAUGCGUAGAUAUGUGGAGGAACACCGAUGGCGAAGGGCAGCCCCCUGGGUCGAAGA